GAUGAACGCUGGCGGCAUGCCUUACACAUGCAAGUCGAACGGCAGCACGGGAGCAAUCCUGGUGGCGAGUGGCGAACGGGUGAGUAAUGUAUCGGAACGUACCUUUCAGUGGGGGAUAACGUAGCGAAAGUUACGCUAAUACCGCAUAUUCUGUGAGCAGGAAAGCAGGGGAUCGCAAGACCUUGCGCUGAUUGAGCGGCCGAUAUCAGAUUAGCUAGUUGGUGAGGUAAAGGCUCACCAAGGCGACGAUCUGUAGCGGGUCUGAGAGGAUGAUCCGCCACACUGGAACUGAGACACGGUCCAGACUCCUACGGGAGGCAGCAGUGGGGAAUUUUGGACAAUGGGCGCAAGCCUGAUCCAGCCAUGCCGCGUGAGUGAAGAAGGCCU
rnacentral:rRNA from 1 species